GCUGUACGGGUGCUGGGCCCAGAGAGAGGAGAGCUCUGCCCAUGGGACGUUCCAGCUGCUCAUCGAGUGUGAGUGAGGUUAACCCGUGGGACUCCCUGCCACGGGUGUGAGUGGGUUUAAUUAGCAGGACUCCCUACCACUGCAUUUGAGUGAGGUUGAGCCGGGAAGCUCCCUGCUCCAGGGUUUCUCUCUCUGACUAUUAAUUUGUUGCUCUGUCGCCUGCUCUCCCCAGACAGUCCCUGUUCGGGGACUGGGCUGAACUCAUCCUGCCAGCGCCAGGGGCUCAGCAUCAGCUGCAGCGGCUCCCUGCACUCCCACCGCCCACCCUGGCUCCAGUGGCAAGUGGACGGGGAGUCCCUGGCUGUGAAGGGCUCACAGGGGGCCCUGCAGGUGGCCUCACUCGGGCAUUUAUCGAAAUCAGCUGCAAACUCGUCUUCUCAGCGACUGGAUUCUUCCUGGCCUAUUACCUCACCCUGCUCUAUUACAGAUGGACACCCUGCUGCUCUCGUGGAAGCAGAAGGAAGGACAGCCCGGGGGUCAGGGAAUCCAUGGUGCCCGAGUCUGGC